rnacentral:rRNA from 1 species
UAGGGAAUCUUCGGCAAUGGACGGAAGUCUGACCGAGCAACGCCGCGUGAGUGAAGAAGGUUUUCGGAUCGUAAAGCUCUGUUGUUAGAGAAGAACGUUGGUAGGAGUGGAAAAUCUACCAAGUGACGGUAACUAACCAGAAAGUGACGGCUAACUACGUGCCAGCAGCCGCGGUAAUACGUAGGUCCCGAGCGUUGUCCGGAUUUAUUGGGCGUAAAGCGAGCGCAGUCGGUUCUUUAAGUCUGAAGUUAAAGGCAGUGGCUUAACCAUUGUACGCUUUGGAAACUGGGAGACUUGAGUGCAGGAGGGGAGAGUGGAAUUCCAUGUGUAGCGGUGAAAUGCGUAGAUGUAUGGAGGAAAACCGGUGGCGUAGGCCGCUCUCUGGUAUGUAACUGACGCUGAGGCUCGAAAGGGUGGGGAGCAAACAGG